CACAAAGUGAUCCACCGGCAAGAGAGAUGCCAAUAAGGCAUCCGAUAAAAUAAGUCUUAUAAAAUAUAUAGGUUUAUGAUAGUUAAGGCUGAGCUAGCAGAUGAGAAUCCUAGUCAUUGGCCAAGCAGCAUUGAACCUAAUACAAGUUUCUGUGUAUUCAUUUGGGCCUAACUUGGGCAGGCGGCUGGCGUAAAGCUCACAUGUGGCAGUGGGGCUCAGCGGCUUUUGGCGGAAAGAUUUAUAACAUAGACCAAGGGAGGGAGCUGUGUUUAUUCUGUGGAUCCCUCCAGCCAUCUGGAGGAGUCAGAGACUUGAAGUGGAGUGGACGCUGGACCAUUCAGGGCAAUGGGACAAGUGGCUAACAAGCUCAAUCCCUGCCAUGUGGGUGAGCUCCUCAGGAGCCCUCAGAGGGAAAUCCACAAUCUGGACCUCACAGCAUUGUUGGGAGAGAGGAACACUGUUUCCCUUGGUCAAGGUCACACAGAUAACCAAGCAGGGCCAAAGCCAGAACUGUGGAAUCGCAUCCUGGAUCCCAGGUUUUCAUUCUUUCCACUUCGGGGUCUCGCCUCGUCUUCUAUUUACCAUCAAAUAAAAGCGGAUUUGCCUUUGUCCCUCCCGAAGUUCACCAUGUUGCACCUCCAGAUGGUCUGAGGCGCAGUUCUGCUCGGGGACUCGUGUUUGUACGAUGACAGCAUCUAUAUUUUUUCUGGAUGAAUUAAUAAUCGACUUGCCAUUGUAUUGAGGAAAAACCAGACAUCACCUCAUGGUCUCAGAAAGGGAGCGUCAUUUUCC
rnacentral:lncRNA from 1 species